AUAUAAAACAGGAAACAGCGAUUCAGGGAGGAGCACGGAGGAGUGACUGAACUACAGAAGAGAGAAAACCUUCCACGUUUCAUUAACAGACCACAAAGGUUAAAGAUUUCCAACAUGCUGCCACUGGACUGUUAUCUUAUUUCUCUACUGAUGAUGACUUCUCUAACAGGAGUCAGAUGUGAAGAACUCACUGCAGACAACGAAGACACGUCCAGUUUAGAAAGCAGCGCUGUUACUCUGUCCUACAGAUACUCCAAACAAGCGUAUGAAAGCGAUGAAUUUUACUGGUAUCGACAACAUCCAGGAAAAGCACCAGAGCUCCUGAUCGCUCACAUGGGAUCAAAGAAUUUAAUGAAACGAGAAUCCUCCAGAGUGUCUUUCAAAGUGCUCGAUGACAGAAGACAAAUAACAAUUUCCUCUGCUGCAGUGACAGACUCUGCUGUGUACUACUGUGCUGUGAGGCCCACAGUGACAGGAAACACCAAAACUCUGUACAAAAACCUUUGGAGCAAAGACAACAGAAUACUCCACAACAUCCACUAGAGGGAGCCACACACCUUUGUUAGGAUACAGACUAACACAUAACACACAGCUGUGAUGAAGAGUUUCAGGUGAAGUUAAUGUGAUGUGAGCCUCCUCCUCCUCCUGACUGCAGAAACCUGUCUGACUCCAGCUGUGAACAUCAGACCACUCACAGCUAACUCCCAGUGAACAUCACUUCCAACAUUUCUCCUCUGGAAAAAUGGAAAAACUGGCUGUGAUUUGGAUCUUUGCAGCUCUCGUAGGUACGUAUGUUUCUGACAGGAACACCUGAAAUUCAAAGACAUGUUUACAGCGUUACAGAUCCAGUUUGGAUUUUCUUUGAGCUCAAGUUUGGAGUGAUGAUUAAACAGAAAAUAUUUCAAGUGUG